rnacentral:rRNA from 1 species
UACGGGGGGGGCAAGCGUUGUUCGGAAUUACUGGGCGUAAAGGGCUCGUAGGCGGCCAACUAAGUCGGAUGUGAAAUCCCCAGGCUCAACUUGGGAACUGCAUCCGAUACUGGAUGGCUUGAAUUCGGGAGAGGGAUGCAGAAUUCCAGGUGUAGCGGUGAAAUGCGCAGAUAUCAGGAGGAACACCGAUUGCGAAGGCAGCUCGCUGGGACGUCACUGACGCUGAGACGCGAAAGCGUGGGGAGCAAACAGG